CCCUGCCACCCCCUACAGCUGCCCACGUACCAGACAUCUCCUCCCACAGCCUCCUUCUCACCUCUUUCCCUCCUCUUUCUCUCUCUAUAUUGGGUGGAGCUCGAUUGAAGUAGAAGUGGGCAGAUUUUAAGCUUGAUGCUGAGAGGAGCUGCUGAGCAGAAUUUUUGGCUAUUGGGGCUGAGGGCAACCUGGUAGAACAUCUAAUUAAGGUUUGACGUGCUCGGAAGUUCGAAUUGAUAUUCCGACGGACCUACGACGUGGUAAUUGAGAAACGCUUCGUUCUAGCUUUACUUGCAUCAAGUCGCGUGGGCUAAUGUUUAUACGGUUCGAGAAGUUGGUUCUAGUCUUCGGCAUCCCUACAGGUUCCAGUGCGAGCGGUGUGGCCGAGGAUCGCGGCAAGAGCCCAGCAGCUUAGCUAGCAGACACCAGUGUUUAGUGGUAUAUACCCGUUUGGUUCAUAUUGUACAUAAUGAUGAACAGAGACUUGUAAAUGAAUGUAUAAAAGAGCAUGUAAAUAACUAAAUGUUUCAGUUAUUCAGUUAUGUAUAGUUCAGUUUUAAAAGUUUUAAAUUAUAGUGAAUUUUAUGUAUAGUUAGUUA